AUACGGAGGGGGCAAGCGUUGUUCGGAAUUACUGGGCGUAAAGCGUACGUAGGCGGAUCGUUAAGUUAGAGGUGAAAUCCCAGGGCUCAACCCUGGAACUGCCUUUAAUACUGGCGAUCUAGAGAUCGAGAGAGGUGAGUGGAAUUUCCAGUGUAGAGGUGAAAUUCGUAGAUAUUGGAAAGAACACCAGUGGCGAAGGCGGCUCACUGGCUCGAUACUGACGCUGAGGUACGAAAGCGUGGGGAGCAAACAGAAUUAGAAACCCUAGUAGUCC
rnacentral:rRNA from 1 species